AGAAGCGACACAAAGAUGCAAUGCUUUCGCGACAGUCACACACAAUUUUUUGUUAUGUGAAUAUUCUACAAAUGAAAAGCCAAAAUGGGUGAUUUUUUGCGUUUGUAAUAAUUUUGAAUAAACAAAUGAACUUUAUUUAAUACUUUUUUCGCUAGCUUAAUGAUAACGCAACUUAAGCCUGGUGCAUAAUGUAUAAAAGCGUGUGCGAUCUUGCGUAGAGAAGGAAAUGUGUGUGUUUAUAAAAGCGUACAAGAUGAUGUCUAGUUAAACAAUACACAAAAGCAAGAAGAAAAAGCCUCCUCAAACGACUCCAACGGCCAACUUGCGGAGCGUGUCAUCGUCGUCGGACCGGUUCUGCGCCCCACCGGAUGUUGCCCACCGCCCCAGGAACCCCACCAACCGGUAGAACCCGUUCAGCACGCCCACGAAAAAUCGAUACAGUGUAAAGUUACGCAAAAGGUUGCCCACGUCCAGCAAAAAGUCAAUCACGACCGCGACGAACCGGGUUAUCCGGGCGCACCGGCACUCCGACCGGACCACAACCACUUUUCGCCGACCCUUCCCUGCCCCCACCCGCACGCCACUGUCGUCAUCCGAGGAGGCUUGCCCUUCUACCCUUUCCUCCUCCUCACCCUCAUCGUCAUUGUCGUCGUUGUCACUGUCACCUCUAUCGUCAGUCGUCGUCGUCGUCGGCCUACUACGAUCGUCCUGUUCUUCCUCAUUGUCAAAGUGGUACACCUUGCGGCUGCGUCGAUUGAGCAGCGCACGUCGCCGGAUCGAGACCGGUUUGCUGCGGUUGUGGUGCGGUGACCGAUUCUUACCUCGCAAGUCCUGGCACUUGGCCGCAGUGAGCACCGUUCCCGGCUGGGACAGCAGCACCGUCUCGAGGCAGCGCACGUUCUCGCGGCACGUUUUGAUGAUUUCGUCCUAAAUUUGAAAGAAUAUUAAUAAAUAUUUGAUUUUUGAACACGUUUUCAAAGAGGUUGAUUAUUUGAUGAAAUUA